rnacentral:rRNA from 1 species
CAGUCGCCACGGUAAAACGAAGGGGGCUAGCGUUGCUCGGAAUGACUGGGCAUAAAGGGCGCGUAGGCGGCGAUCAAAGUCAGGCGUGAAAUUCCUGGGCUCAACCUGGGGGCUGCGUUUGAUACUUGAUUGCUAGAGUGGGGAAGAGGGUCGUGGAAUUCCCAGUGUAGAGGUGAAAUUCGUAGAUAUUGGGAAGAACACCGGUGGCGAAGGCGGCGACCUGGUCCUUUAUUGACGCUGAGGCGCGAAAGCGUGGGGAGCAAACAGGAUUAGAUACCCCAGUAGUCCCUGUCUCUUAUAC